rnacentral:rRNA from 1 species
UACGAGGGGGGGCGAGCGUUGUUCCGGAAUUAUUGGGCGUAAAGGGUGCGUAGGCGGUUUGGUAAGUCUUGUGUGAAAUCUACAGGCUCAACUUGUAGUCUGCACGAGAAACUGCCGGGCUUGAGUAUGGGAGAGGUGAGUGGAAUUCCUGGUGUAGCGGUGAAAUGCGUAGAUAUCAGGAGGAACACCUGUGGCGAAAGCGGCUCACUGGACCAUAACUGACGCUGAUGCACGAAAGCUAGGGGAGCAAACAGG